UUUAUGUUUUAUUUGGAUGGGGCUACAGUCAUGGGUGUAGAGGGUGUAGAGUAGGGGGCUUAGCAUGCAGCCUUGUGGAGAGAU